CUCAGUUACCUGUAGUUUUUUAUGUGGGGUUGAAGCCUCAUGGGCUCUUCUCUGCCCAUGUUCUCUGCCCAUGUUCUCAGUCUCAUCCAUUGGGACUGACCUCUACAACUCUGCAUAUUGAUUGAUUGUGUUUUUCUGUAGUGGUCUCCGUACAUUGCAAAGAAAAGUUGCCUUGAUGAGCAGUGAGGACCACAAUUAUCUGUGGGCAUAAGGACAAAUGUUUAGAGAUUGUUGUUAGGGAUGAUGCUGGUUUAGCAAAUUAGUGGCUGUAAAUUCUCUACCAAUAACCAUGACCUCACUAGCACUGAAUAGUUAGGUUUGUUUCCUGUAUCAAGCAUGGUUGCCCUCUUGUUGAGCAGGUCUUAAGUCCAAUGAGUCCAAUUUAGUCCAAGGUACACACACAUGCCACAACUGCACCCGGGUUGUCAUGCCAUGCUGGUUGAUGCGGUUCACAGGUGUCAGAGCUGGGAAGGACUGUGAGUUGUCUCCCAUCUCUGGAAUCUCGCAUGGUGCUUUCUGGUACCAGGAAGUCUAAUCCAAAGGGAACAGAAAUGCAGGUCAGUUCUUGCUCUGGGUACCACAGCCAUUUUAUAUCCUGGGUUAAACAACAGUAUCCUCUUUUGGAAACAGUGCCUUUUCAGCUGUUUCCAAGGGCACAGUGCUUUUCAUCCCAGUGCUGCUUUGCUGGUCUCCUUUCUCCUGCUACAAAGUAGAGAGAAGAGGGAUGGAAAACAGGGAGUUUGGAGGACACUGUGAGACAUACGUGCUUGGGUCUGUGGGAAAAUCUCACCUCUGGAGCCAGCUUCAGUGAGUUUACAUAGCACAUGACAAUUUCCUAACAAAAGGUAUUCAUUCCACUGUAAAACUGAAGAAAAUACCUUUUUCUGAAGAACUAGAGAAGCGAGAGAGAAGGAAUCCAGUUGCUUGCUGUGCUGUGUAUUGAGAAUGAGGACAAAAAGGAGAUCAUGCCACACAGCUUCCAGAAGCCACGAUCAAAGAGGAUCAAGCCAACAAAACUAUCUGCCUUUACCCCUGGGUAACUUGAGAUACUCUCUGGCUAUACUUGGGGUGAGGGCCAAACUGCUUGAAGGCCUGUACCUGCAAUUAGUGUGUGUCUACACCUGGGAGAAGACAGCCUGAAAAACUGGAGGAAUAAAUAAAUGCCUUUUCACCUACAAACAA